rnacentral:lncRNA from 1 species
UAUUCUUCAAAACACUCACACGGCCCCUUAAAACUCGGUACAAGUCCUGAUAGUGUUAAAUUACAGAAAAAAUUUUACGAUAACAUUAUUUCUUUGUACGUUUAUCCUUUUUAAAUAAAUAGAACCCGUGAUUAAUAAAUAAUAACUCAUACCGCGUUAUUAACCGCAUCAGAUAUGUGGCUUUUUCUGCUAAUCAAUGAAGCCAUUGCGAUGCCUGCAAGUUGAAAAAAAAAGUUAGUAAAAAACUCUUACUUCGGCCAUUUGUUCGUAUUUUUUUCUCCGCAUUUUAUUACUUUAAAAAAUAUCUUCAUUUCUAAUUUUAUAAUUUUACAUAAUGUUUU